rnacentral:lncRNA from 1 species
CACCCCCACAGCAACACACAACUGUCACACACACACUGUACAUAUACACAAGCACACCCCCACAGCAACACACAACUGCCACACACACUGUAUGUACAUAUACACAAGCACACUCCCACAGCAACACACAACUGCCACACACACACUGUACAUAUACACAAGCACACUCCCACAGCAACAUGUACUUACAAACACAAAGAAAUGGAGGCUUGGAGGGCCUCGACUGAGGAAAGGAGCGUGAAAGGGAAAUGUAUUGAAGAAGUGGGUGGAGCAGUGGUUCUUACCAUUCAGGGAACCUUGGCAUUAUGGGUAACUCACUAGAACACCCAUACUGUCCCCUGUGUGCUCACCCUCAGGGUGAGGUGCUGGGAUUGCCAUUCUUAACAGUUUCUUUGGGUGGCUGUUGGGAUUGGGGACCUUUGGAGUUUUACUAUUUCUGUUUUGACCCCAUAUCUGUAAUUUGGUAGUCGGGGAUCACAAUUUUACAAAACAUUUGUACUCUAGGCUCAAUCACACACAAAACAGAGAUAAUGGUAAUUUAAUGGGUGUAAGGCUGAGCUGAUGUUCACAAACAUAUCUAGUGUAACAUUAAUUUAUCUAAGCACUCAGUUUCCUUCUUUUUUAUUUUUUCUUGGCAAGAACAAGCAUUCUUUAUUGCCUCCAUGGUCCCUUGUUAAAUUUACAUAACUUAGGUAAAACUGUUAUUUCAUUUUUUGUAUUAGAUAUUUUCUUUAUUUACAUUUC